GACGAACGCUGGCGGCGUGCCUAAUACAUGCAAGUUGAGCGCUGAAGGUUGGUACUUGUACCAACUGGAUGAGCAGCGAACGGGUGAGUAACGCGUGGGGAAUCUGCCUUUGAGCGGGGGACAACAUUUGGAAACGAAUGCUAAUACCGCAUAAAAACUUUAAACACAAGUUUUAAGUUUGAAAGAUGCAAUUGCAUCACUCAAAGAUGAUCCCGCGUUGUAUUAGCUAGUUGGUGAGGUAAAGGCUCACCAAGGCGAUGAUACAUAGCCGACCUGAGAGGGUGAUCGGCCACAUUGGGACUGAGACACGGCCCAAACUCCUACGGGAGGCAGCAGUAGGGAAUCUUCGGCAAUGGACGAAAGGCUGACCGAGCAACGCCGCGGGAGGGAAGAAGGUUUUCGGAUCGUAAAACUCUGUUGGUAGAGAAGAACGUUGGUGAGAGUGGAAAGCUCAUCAAGUGACGGUAACUACCCAGAAAGGGACGGCUAACUACGUG
rnacentral:rRNA from 1 species